UGGGGAAUUUUGGACAAUGGGGGCAACCCUGAUCCAGCAAUGCCGCGUGUGUGAAGAAGGCCUUCGGGUUGUAAAGCACUUUUGUCAGGAACGAAACGGUGGAGGCUAAUACCUUCUGCUAAUGACGGUACCUGAAGAAUAAGCACCGGCUAACUACGUGCCAGCAGCCGCGGUAAUACGUAGGGUGCGAGCGUUAAUCGGAAUUACUGGGCGUAAAGCGUGCGCAGGCGGUUGUGCAAGACAGAUGUGAAAUCCCCGGGCUCAACCUGGGAAUUGCAUUUGUGACUGCACGGCUAGAGUGUGUCAGAGGGGGGUAGAAUUCCACGUGUAGCAGUGAAAUGCGUAGAUAUGUGGAGGAAUACCGAUGGCGAAGGCAGCCCCCUGG
rnacentral:rRNA from 1 species